rnacentral:rRNA from 1 species
CACGUAGGGUGCGAGCGUUGUCCGGAAUUAUUGGGCGUAAAGAGCUCGUAGGCGGUGUGUCGCGUCGGCCGUGAAAACCUGCAGCUUAACUGUGGGCGUGCGGUCGAUACGGGCAGACUAGAGUUCGGUAGGGGAGUCUGGAAUUCCUGGUGUAGCGGUGAAAUGCGCAGAUAUCAGGAGGAACACCGGUGGCGAAGGCGGGACUCUGGGCCGAUACUGACGCUGAGGAGCGAAAGCGUGGGGAGCGAACAGG